rnacentral:tRNA from 1 species
GGGGCUAUAGCUCAGCUGGGAGAGCGCUUGCAUGGCAUGCAAGAGGUCAGCGGAGCUCCACCA